rnacentral:lncRNA from 1 species
GUCUCCCCAUCUUCAUGAGAGAUAGUCAUGGAAUCUGACAGCACAGGCUUUGUCAAGAUUUUUCUUUCUAGGAUUCCUUCACCUAACCAGAACUGACUUCAUCAGAGAGUUAUGAUGGUUAACUCUAUCAGUCUUCUACCUGAAUGCCCCAAGAUAUUGAUGAAGUCAACAAAAACAUUGAGCCUCAGAACACAAGAAAUCUUGGACAAACUGGGAGACAGCUUGUCAGUAUCUAAGGUUGCCAUCUGGAGUUUUAAGUAAUUGUCUACUACUGAAGAAACAAGACCCAGCAGACCCUCAGAUGGAACUGAAGUCUCUGUCUUGUCCUGGAGAUGUCCCCCAUCUCCUCAUCCCCAUCAGCUGAGGAUUUCCAUUUGUUUACAUGGCCCUCCAGGAUCUCUCCUGCACUUCCCCAGACUUGAUCCUGAAGCCUCCAUUUCCCUCCCUAUAGGGAAUGCAUCUGGAAAAGAGACUACCAGCAGAAGAGCAUAAAGGGGCGUGGAAGCCUAAACUGAACGAAGACCAAAGUGUGGACACUUUGCCCCUUCUUAGAAUUUGAAACAAUCACCCAUGGAAGGAGU